rnacentral:lncRNA from 1 species
UGGCUGUCAUCGCUGCCCUGGCUGGAUUUGCUGUCUGGAAGAGCAAGCAGGGUAACGUGCCUGGGCAGGGAAGAAGGAGAAGGGCUACAAUGUGGCACCAGGCAGUGACGGGGGAUCCAGCUACUUGUGCACAGGUAUAGAAUGAGGCUGUGGGUUAAGGCAGGAGCCCCAGGGAGGUUUUGAGGUCCCCGCUUGUCAUGUCCUUUGUGGACUUUGUGUAGGCACAGUGAGCCUACACGUCAGUACAUGAGGGGCCUCUUCUG